CGUUGAAGUAGAGUCAAAGACCAUGGUAGCCACUGGUGCUAUGUGCACUGCUUUCCACGUGCGCACACACCUGUUCUCUCGCCAAUUCCACUGCUUCAGCAGCAGGGCUCGGCUUCCUGUCACAAGAACCUCAUCGUCAGGGCUGAGAACAAACGAAGUGAUGUCCUCUUGGUCAUCCUGCUCAAGGCUGUGCAGCAGAGCUCCCGUUUCGACAUCGAUCACGUUCAGCUUGGUCCCACAGGGGCAGAACAUGAACUUCCCAUCCCGGCUUACCUGCACUCGCCCUCCUUUAUAGAACGGCUCGAUUCUCCUCGACACAGCAUAAUUGCUCUUGAAGCGCACCACGCUGCCCGCCGCCGUGGCGGCCAUGGCACCCCGCGCUCCGCGUGCA
rnacentral:lncRNA from 1 species